UGUCUUUUAUUAUUAUUUUAUUUUCGUUUCUAUAAUCAUGAAGUUUCAUAUGGAAGUUGACUUUCAUUCAGAUUAUUCAUGGUGUGGUAUUAUAAUGCAAUUGGUAAUAUGAUCCCGUUACAAACAACGAACAGGAUCCAUAGAUACACAUGCAACUAUCAACCAUACAAUAAAUGCUGACCCGCAUAUUAAAGUCGCUCGCGAGAACAUGAAAUGAAAGUGUCGGUUGGUUGGUUUGGUUGCUGGUUUCUUAGUUUUGGCUUUGGCUUAGCAGCAAGUAACAAAAAAAAAAAAAACAAGAACAACGAUGACAGACGACUGGACGGUUUAAACAGCAAAACAUCAGUUUCGUUGUUGCUGUUUUUUUUUUUGUAUUAUUAUCGUGGUUCUACUAUAAUGGCAGUUUAAGGCUACAGUUCUAUUUUUCAAUGCCUCGUUUGACGUCAAUGGUCUUUCACAUAGGCAUAUUGUGAGAAUGUGACAACCGCAUGGUACUAUGGAACAAAAUAGCUUUCAAACUGUCUGUCCCACUGUAUACAGCCGACACCGCAUGGCCAAAGAACACUUACAAUCCAUUGUGUUACACUAGACGCGAUGCAGUUCUGUUGGUCUAUUUUUUUUUUUCUUUUUUUUUUAUUGUUGUGCAAAAAUCUUGAUGUCUCGAGCACGUAUUCAUCACCAUGAGAGGUGUAAGUUGCUAUGGAAUCAGAAUGGAGCAACAGCUAGCCGCAGCAUGAUGAUAAAUUGCGAGUGCAUGCUGAAAAUAUAUUAAAAAUAAAUUAAUGUAAUUUAUUUUUAUUUUUAAA